AUCGACUGGCUCCAAAAGGGAGUCAAUUCCCAUAGACUCCCAUGUUAAAAAUUGCCAACUUUACAGAAGAAAAUAAUAUGUUUACAGCCUGGUACAAAAAGUGUUUUUGGCCUAUAUAGCUAAUCUUGCCCUUCAUGACAACUGUGAGGGGGGUGAAUUUUUUUGUAACUCAUCCGUUUAAAUUAUAUUAGGCCUUAAACUUCUGCAUAAUUAAGGGCGUGGCCGCUUGAGUGUCGGUUGAACAGCCACUGCUGUCACAAGACUCGCGCUAGGCGGGCGUGGUUUCACCUCAGCUUCACCCAUAUCCCGCCUCUUUACGUCAAUGUAUCGCGAGAGCGAGUCAAGAAAUUACACUCUCGCGGUACAAUGACGUUAACCUGUCAGCGCAGCAAGAAGUCGAACACACGUAUUUGCGUGCGCGCGCCUCGGUCCUUGUGAGUUCAAAGUGGAUUUUAACCGUUUACCUCAGACGACAGUUUUCAUUUCUAUGGUAAAUUCUAAGGUAAGUUUUUAUUAAUUACUGGUCAAGUCAUUAAAAUAAGUUCACAGUUAUGUUUGUUUUGUUUUUAUUAACAGUUAAUUCGAUAUGACUCAAAUAUUCUGAACUUUAAUGUUGACCGUUGAUGCAGUGGUUUGACUGAGCUCGUGACGCAUCUGAGCUAAUGUAGUAAAGAUCUUUUAUUUGUCUUUACCUUCUAUAAAAAUGUGUUAUCCUCGUUCUUCAAAUGUAUUUGACAUUGUUUAGUUAAUUAUAACGCAAGUUAUUUAAAUGUAGGGUUUGACGCGUAAAUGUAGGGUUAUUUAACUUACAGUACGGACACACAGUUUUCAGUAAGUUAGCCUGUUAAAACGGUUAAGAAUUUAAACAGAAGCCAUCAAUUCUGGAUUAAUAACUAUUGUAUAUUUAUGUUCACUUUUCUUUACAGGUCAUUUUCUUGUUGUGUUGUGAUGUGUUCCAUUGGCUGAAGAAUUACCAUGCAAUUUGAUGAAGUGUGAUAAAAUACACAGAGGUGAAGUCACGUGUCUUUCCAGAUGCCCAAAUCUGUACCACUCAAAAGGUAAUGAAGUGACAGUGUACCAUGACAAAUAAUGUAAACAUUAUUUCUUUCAAAGUUGUACUUGGGCCACAGUUUUUUGUAUUUCUAACCAAAACAUUACAUUUAUGAUUCUAUACUAAUGAAAUAUGUUUUUCUUUUUCCAAACUUUAUCAAAUGCAAUGAUCGCUAAGAUGAGCCUGAAGAGGAGAUUUGGGAAGAUGCUGUUUCAUAAGUCUUUGCUUUGCCAGAUCACCUGUGGUCGGGAUGUCUGCUAACAUGAUGCCUUGUUGGUCUGGGCGAGUUUGAAGUCUCUCACAGACAGUCCAGAAGGUCUGGAGUCCAUGUUAGCUUUUAUUGAUUAACUACAUACGGUCCCUUGGGGGAGCCAACCCAGGUGAAGUCCACUGAAGUCCUGAGUGCCUACAGCAUGAAAGGGAGGAAGGAAUCAACACAGAAAAACUACAAGGCAUUAAAGGCCCUUGACGUGGAAGACUUAAUUGCAUUAGCCCUGAAAUUUGCCCCACACAGAAAUUUAAAAUGAUGGGAGAGAUUGCUGUGGAGUUCUGAAGUUCAUCGUUUAAAGCGUAACUAAACCCCUGGUCAGAGCCUGACUCCACCCACUGCAAUAUUUGAAAAAUGCAAGAAAAGUAGGCAGAUCCCAACGGAGAAAGAGGGGAUGAACUAAGCUCGUACCAAGUGUGUGGUGAGAUUGUAAUAAGGGUGUGGUAAGCUUGAACCUGCUUACGUCACGAGUUCUUUUUUGGACCCAACAUCCAAUAGAAAAUUCAACUGCAGUAGCCACCAUUCAACCUGAAGAGGGCAGCACUUAGAUGUUUUUACACCAUAUUGUAGUAUUGAAACACUUUAUAUCCAAAUGUCAAAAAACUUACUAAAAUCAAUGAACAGCACUAAUAAACCAUCAUUCUUACAGAUCAGUAACUAAAAAAAGUUGGUUUAGGGUUUAGUUACUCUUUAAAUGUUUUCGUUUUUAAUAUAUUAAAAUGUUUUUUAUGAUACAAUGUUCUACAUGUCUAUUGCCAAUUUUAUGUGUUAUAUAAGCAAAUUAUCUACCCUAUUAUAUUAUUAUCUAAGUCUAUAAAUUCUAUAAAUGUUCCUGUGAUUAAUGAUUUUGAUUUUGAUUUGUCUACGAAUAAAGAAUGGAUCAACA